UGCCAGCCGCCGCGGUAAUACGGAGGGGGUUAGCGUUGUUCGGAAUUACUGGGCGUAAAGCGCACGUAGGCGGACUAGUCAGUCAGAGGUGAAAUCCCGAGGCUCAACCUCGGAACUGCCUUUGAUACUGCUAGUCUAGAGUUCGAGAGAGGUGAGUGGAAUUCCGAGUGUAGAGGUGAAAUUCGUAGAUAUUCGGAGGAACACCAGUGGCGAAGGCAGCUUUCUGGAUCAUUACUGACACUGAGGAACGAAGGCAUGGGUAGCGAAGAGGAUUAGAUA
rnacentral:rRNA from 1 species